rnacentral:lncRNA from 1 species
UCCUAAGUUCUUGCUGAUGUUUCCAUUGCUAUUCCAUGGAAUGAAAUUAUAAACAGAAGAUUUGAAAUGAUACACUCCCAGAAGAAAAUAUUUAAGGCUUCUGUGCUGACUCCUCUUCGGAGGCUGCUACUUCCUCUGCUGCUGAGGAUUCCAGAAUACUUGCAGAUUCUCACCCACCAGGUAAGGUAAGGCUUCACUAGUCCUCACACGAUGCAGCUGGAACAAUAAGUAUUAUUUUUGAUCAGAACAAAAUUUAGCAUUCCUAUCUAAGGAUUUGAGCUGCACUGAUCACCAUAGCAACUAGAUGAAAUUCUAAUUUGUAUAAUACACUUGAAAAUAAUGUGCUACAGAGGCCAUGCCUGGAGGAAGAGACGAAAGGGAGAGGGAAUUGAUAACUGUAGAACUUCAGUACUUUAUGGGAGAAUGCAAAUAACUGAAUUUUAGGAUGACAGUGCUCAAUCAUCAAGAAUUCUUUGUAUAAUAGAGUGAAUUAGAUCCAGGUAGGUUUUGUGACUCUUCUCAGGCCACUCUGUAAUGAAAGCUUGUGCUUUGGUAUCCAUCUUUUUAUAUCAAAACUUUAAAAAAGUAAGUUUUGCCACAAAAAUCAAGAGAGGCUGAUUUAAUGACAUAGUAAUUUCACUGCUGUCAAAAAUAUUUUGUGAAACACUGCACAUUGACUGCUGUACAUUGACUAUUCUAGAUUGACUAAGUGAUGGCAUAAAUCUGAUGAAGGGUCAUCCCGAUUGUGAUCUAUUCUUUAAAUAUGUCUGCACUGGUUGUUUUAACUGCCCAUUCACAACUAUUACUGAACAAGUACACAGGUACACACCAAAACACACUUGAAAUUAUAGGUGAUUCCUCUGCCUUAUAACAGCAAUACAAUCUCCUAAUACUUAGGAAGAGAAUCACACAAUAUCAGCUUUCUCUGCCUGCUCAGAUAAAUACAGGGGAGGUCACAGGACUUAAAGGACCAUCUCCUUGGAUUAAUGGAAUUUCUUUUUGUCCUUUAGCAGACAUAGUCUCACCUUGGUGAAUCAGGCUUAAUGAAACAGAGAACAAAACCCACAAAUGUAAUACUUGGGGUGAUUACUUACGCUACUUUUGGUUUCUUAUCUACAUGUUUUUCCUGGUAGGGAAAUUGCUUAGUAAGUAUAUAGCAAAUUUUGUAAAGUAACAAAUUAACCUCCCU